GAGGACGGUGGCUCAGUUGCAGAGCACCUGCAUUGAAUGCAGAAGGUUCCAGGUUCAAUCCUUGGCAUUUUCG